GACGAACGCUGGCGGCGUGCUUAACACAUGCAAGUCGAACGGAAAGGCCCUGCUUUUGUGGGGUGCUCGAGUGGCGAACGGGUGAGUAACACGUGAGUAACCUGCCCUUGACUUUGGGAUAACUUCAGGAAACUGGGGCUAAUACCGGAUAGGAGCUCCUGCUGCAUGGUGGGGGUUGGAAAGGUUCGGCGGUUGGGGAUGGACUCGCGGCUUAUCAGCUUGUUGGUGGGGUAGUGGCUUACCAAGGCUUUGACGGGUAGCCGGCCUGAGAGGGUGACCGGCCACAUUGGGACUGAGAUACGGCCCAGACUCCUACGGGAGGCAGCAGUGGGGAAUAUGGCACAAUGGGCGGACGCCUGAUGCAGCAACGCCGCGUGCGGGAUGACGGCCUUCGGGUUGUAAACCGCUUUCGCCUGUGACGAAGCGUGAGUGACGGUAAUGGGUAAAGAAGCACCGGCUAACUACGU
rnacentral:rRNA from 1 species